rnacentral:lncRNA from 1 species
GGGUCGGGCGGAGGGACCGGUCUCUCCUGCUAGGGACCGGUCCCAGAGCCUGGAUUUUUUUAAAAAAUUUUAUUUUAAGUUCAAAUUUUCCAGAAAAAUUAUACGUUAUUCCAAAAUGUCCAAUCAUCAAAAAUAAUCAAUUCCAUUCCCAAUAACUUCAAAUAAAAUUUCAUAAAUAAAUUUUGAAAAUUCAAUUUCAAGGAUAUUCAAUUUAUCAAAAAUUGUUGACCCGAAAAUCAAUGAAAAUUCUAGAUACAUAUAAAAUAAA